UUUUUCUUCCAGAAACUGUCUGGAGUGAUCAGAACCGGACCAGACAGUGCGUGUCCCUUCAGGACCCAGGCUCUCAGCUUCCAUUGUUGUUCCAUUUCUAGUUCUUAGGUUGAAGAAGCAUGUAAGAGCUUGGCCCCUUACUAAAAUAAAUAGAAGAAAAUGGACAUAACAGCAACUAGAAAUGCCUGUUUCAACUGAUCAGUUCCAUCAACACCCUCCCUCUUCACAAUGAAAACCACUUCUACUGUUCCAUGAAAAGCAGUGCACCUGCCUCUUAGAUCACCAUGGCUGCUUAAAGGGACAGGAAGCAGAAAAGAGACAAGAGACCUUCAAGAGACAUGAGGCAAGAGGCAGAGUCUCUCUUGAAGGAAAUUCAAUGGUCUGCCAGAGACAGAAAGACAGCUGUGACUCUUUACAGAGAGAUGCAUGCUGGAAAGAGUUGCAAGUCUGUAGUAGCUCAUGGUCCCCUCCCCACCCCCACCCCCGUGGUCCCACCCUUCUGAAGUUGCUCACCCAAGGUGAGACAGGAUGUCCCAACAGAUAUUUCUUUCUAGGAUAGCCAGGCAAGAUGGAGCAAGCUUGUCUGUAACCUUGCAGGAACCCUGUUUCACAGGUGAGGCACUCCAUCACCAUCCAUGAAGAGUGACUUAAAGAACAAAACCAGCUAGGGGCUGGAGAUCUGCCUCAGCAGCUAAGAGCACUUACCGCUCUUGCAGAGGACCAGGGUUUGAUUCUCAGGACCAACAGAGUGGUUUACAACAAUCUGUGACUCUGUUCUGGGAUUCCUAUCCCUUCCACUUCACAGGCACUGCACACAC
ensembl:sense_intronic Gm15940 predicted gene 15940